rnacentral:snoRNA from 10 species
GAACAUGUGGUGAUGAGCAACUUCUUUGUGGACUAGGGUUUCUGAUAACACUACGCAGUGUUUGAUGACCAAACCCUUUGGUUGUCUGAGCUCCUCU